rnacentral:rRNA from 1 species
AACGAACGCUGGCGGCAGGCUUAACACAUGCAAGUCGAACGGGCAUAGCAAUAUGUCAGUGGCAGACGGGUGAGUAACGCGUGGGAAUAUGCCCUUUAGUUCGGAAUAACCAAGGGAAACUUUGGCUAAUACCGGAUAAGCCCGAGAGGGGAAAGAUUUAUCGCUGAAGGAGUAGCCCGCGUCUGAUUAGCUAGUUGGUGAGGUAAUGGCUCACCAAGGCGACGAUCAGUAGCUGGUCUGAGAGGAUGAUCAGCCACACUGGGACUGAGACACGGCCCAGACUCCUACGGGAGGCAGCAGUGGGGAAUAUUGGACAAUGGGGGCAACCCUGAUCCAGCCAUGCCGCGUGAGUGAUGAAGGCCUUAGGGUUGUAAAACUCUUUUAUCCGGGAAGAUAAUGACUGUACCGGAAGAAUAAGCCCCGGCUAACUUCGUGCCAGCAGCCGCCGCUG